rnacentral:rRNA from 1 species
CCUACGGGAGGCUGCAGUGAGGAAUAUUGGUCAAUGGACGAGAGUCUGAACCAGCCACGUAGCGUGAAGGAUGAAUGCCCUCUGAGUUGUAACCUUCUUUUAUAUGGGAGUAAAACAGGGUAUGCAUACCCUCUUGUAUGUACCAUAUGAAUAAGGAUCGGCUAACUCCGUGCCGGCAGCCGCGGUAAUGCGGAGGAUCCGAGCGUUAUCCGGAUUGAUUGGGUUUAAGGGUAACGUAGGUGGAUUGUUAAGUCAUGUGUGAAAGUUAGGGGCUCAACCGUAAAAUUGCAGUUGAAACUGGCAGUCUUGAGUAUAGUAGAGGUGGGUGGAAUUCGUGGUGUAGGGGUGAAAUGCGUAGAUAUCAGGAAGAACUCCAAUGGCGAAGGCGACUAUCUGGCCCGUAACUGACACUGAGGCGCGAAAGGGUGGGUAGCAAACAGGAUUAGAUACCCGGGUAGUC